ensembl:piRNA 21ur-9369 ncRNA
UUUUUAUACACCGACUCUGAA